GGCAGGGGGAUGUCAGCCUCUCGAAGGCCUCUGGAAGGAUGUGGAUGAGCCCGGUGGCGAGAAUUACUCCCGCUGCGAAAGCUUUGAUUAUGAAGAAGCCGGUGUGCUCGGGUUGGAGGAAGGAGAUCGAGCGGCCGAGGAUCGGGAUGAGAAUGCCCAAUGCUCCGGCAGUGAGAAUGGAAGCUAUGGCGAUCAGCUUCAGAUAGAGGGCUUUGG
rnacentral:misc_RNA from 1 species